rnacentral:lncRNA from 1 species
CAUGGCGGGCCGCGGCCGUAGCCAUGGAGACGGGCGGGAGGCCGGGCCCGCGGUGACUCGGAGCGGGGUCCCGUCACGCGAGGCCGGGGCCUCACCCGCAGGGCUGGGAGCAAACGGCAAAGCGCGCGCGAGGACCUUAAAACGGGCUCAGCGUGAGCCGCCCAGGUGGAUGUUCUGGUUUAGCUGUCCGAGCGCUCCCAGGCCGGCUCGGGUAAGUGCCCACUCUGAGGGAAGCCAUAAGGAGGAGACGGGAUCAGCGGCAGUGCUGACCGACGUGGGCCACCCUGCCGGGGACCCCUCUGAGCACCCCGCCCGCCGCCCCGGCCUCCUGGGGAUGCUGCCGCCCUCCCUACCCGCUCCAGCGGGAAGCUCGGGCCUAACGUCAUCCCUGUGAGCUUGGCACUAAAGCCUCCCUGUUGGACUAAAACAUGAAUUUGUGUUGCUUAGUUUUAUGGAAAAACAUAUCUGCGCGUUUCUUUCUGCUUCCCUGUUAAACUACGUGAUAGCCCAAAGGUGUAAAUUUGGAGUAAUUCUGUCAAAACCAAUAGAAUUAUUUCCAAUUUACAUGAUUUCAGAGGAGAAUCUGACUAGAGCUAUUUGAUACAGAGAGUACCAGAGGAAAGGACACACGUUCCUCUAUAUUGUUGAGAGGCUGYGUCCAAUAUCCUAAUGCCUUCUGGCUUUAGACUCCAACACUUGCCUGUUCUGUAAUACGACUCUUGGAAAUUGCCUCUAGGAAAAGAGAACUAGAAAUCUUGGAUCUGUGCUGGCCUUGUGCCUAUUAUAGAUUCCUAUUUGAAUUAAAGGUGUGUCUUUUAAUAUUAAUUUAAGUCUUUCAGCAAUUGUUUUUAUAUUUCUCAGAUGUUACCUUUAUUUUUAUUACCCUUUUUAUUCAUGGUAAAAUGUUUGCUGCCUAGCAAGCGAAUAAUAAUGUAUGUGUUGCUGCAAUGAAAUCAGCUCUAUGAAUCCCCUUGGUAAUAAGAUUAAAGGUGAUUUUUAUUAUGAGACAAAGGAUAUCAGGCCAAAAAUGUCUGGUAUUUUUUAUUCAGGUUAUUUUUUUAUUUAUUUUCAUCAUGUCCCUYUUCUGUCAAGAAACAGAAGUGCACAAUGACAUAAGCUUGACUUUUUCACUCAUUUUCUUUGAUAGCUUAGCCUACAUGUUUAGCAAGGAAGAACAAUGUAUUAGGAUUUUCUGAGAUUUUARGUAGGACCUAAGUAGAUGUAGAUCAUAUGCUGGACUUCUGUAGAGACUGACCUCUCCAUCUUUUCAUAAGAUUGUGGUAAUGAAAUCGGCUGAACAAGAAAGUCUUCAACAAUAUGAAGACUAAAGAGCUUGUUCUCCGUAUGUAUAUGAAUUAUGACAGCUACAUGACUGGACAUAACAUUAAUACCAAACAAGUAAUAUAGCAUAUCAUAACACAAAUUCUUUAGAUAUAGUAUGUUGAGAACCUAUAAUAAAUAAUAAUCAAUAUGAGUCA